AUUAGAUUCCCUAAACACCGGUGAAUGAAUCUUCUCACAAAAUAGUAAACUACAUUUUACAAUAACUUCAAGUAUUGAAACUGUUAUUUCUUUAAAAAAUUGACUUGAUUUCAACUUUCAGUUGGGUUCAAAGGCAACGUAGAAGGGCAAUACAGUCGGCAAUUUUUGACGCUACGUUUUCAUAAGUGAAACGUACAAUAAUACCAGGCAGGUUUACUUUUUACAGUAAUAACGUUAUGUUAUUGUAAUUAUUUUCUCACACUUAGAAACAUUUGUUAUUGCGUUUUGGUCAAACCAGCGUGAUAUUUAACCAAGCCCAAACGAGGGAUAGCUUUAAAAGACGUUCUUGUUUUAUGGUUUAAACCCAAUUCACAAGCUGAUAAAUCACUCAAUAGUACAACCCUAUGGAUGUUGGGCAAAUUCACUGUUGGUAAACAUUUACUCGUUAUUGAUUAUUACAGCCAGGUACAAGAAUCACAUUGUCAUCAACAAAUAAUUAAAUUUACGUCAAAUGUUCAGCUGCAAUUGGUGAAGGUUGUGGAAGCUUUGGCCAACUCUAAUUAUAAAGUGAAGGGUGCUUGUUUGGAUGCAGUCUAUGAAUGGGUCAACCACAAGUGGACCACAGUUCAUUAUCAAGAUGUCCUGUUAUUAACGCUCUGCCUUGCACCAUUGGGCUUUUUACAUUUGUGAUGGGAGCCUCUGUUGCAAAAGCGGUAUGUUCUACUGAGACAGAAAAGAGUGUCAUCCAACCUGGAAAAAUCUAAUUGACUGGAUGUACAUUGGUCCUUGUUGGUGCUUCAUAAUUUCAACCUCGACACUUGUCAUUCUUCUUUCAAUCAUGAAUUUCUUAGUGCAUAUAACAGAUUUUCAAAAUGAGGGCAAACUAUUUUUAUUAUUGCAAUUGACGACUAAUAAAGUGUAAAAUUUACU